AAUUUGUUCCUUUUCUGGUCCAGAUGUUAAAUGAUUUACAUCUUUUCAUCCCUGUACCAAACAGAAGAAACGGUUCGGAGAAACCCGCGUUUCCCAUAUCGGGUAUGAUCUAUGGUUUAUAAUAAAGCGAUAAUGGCGACGCUGCAAGCGGAGGUCACGUGGGGUCAUGCGCGCUCCCUUAGCGCGUGAUGUGGGGCGCGCGCCCGCCCGCCACCCUGAACGCAGCGCGCGGGGGGUCUGCUGUGGUCCCGUGUGGAUGAAGCGGGACGGAUUUCUUCAUCAUCAACAUCAUCAUCGUGUUGAUGAUGAAGAUGAUGAAGAUUUCAGCCUCUAUGACCUGCAGAUGCACUUUUUAUUGGACAAGUUAAACGGUCGCGACUCGGCAUUUUCCUCUUUGACGAAGAUCAAGACAUUUAGGGAAGAAUCAGGACACUGUUUGGAUGGAAGAGAGGAGGAGGAGCUACAGUGGAGAAAGGUGUUGAGAAAAGAGCUGAGUAUGCCAGAGGAGGAGAAAGAGCAUGUCCAGGACUACAUCGCGGCUCUGCGGACGCAGUACAGUAGAGAGUUGUCAGACUCGCAGUCAGCUGUAGAGACGCUGCGACAGGAGAAUGGCGAGCUGAGACAGGCUCUGAUGGAGGCCAGGAGAGACGUGAUCCUGAUUCAGAGCGAGCUGGACCGCCUGAGGAAAGUGUCUGAGAACAGGACUCCGCCCACCUGGAACCACGCCUUUUCCACGGACGCCCUGUACCGGCGCAUGCUCGGGGCGGUCAGCGGGUGUGUGAGCAGCUGGUCAGUGGCUCUGUGGUCGGACAGAAGACCGCCAGAGAGACUCGGAGACACGACUGGACGCUGUCACAGGGUGCAGAGACGCGUGCUGAGAUACAGAAGGUACCAGCAAUCAUCUUCAGAUCAGCUGCAUCUUCUGACUGGUGGGUGGUGUGGAGGACCAUGUGUAAGUUCAGCCACAUACAGAGUCCACAGGGAACCCACAGGACAGUGGGGCAGGACAGGACAACAACAUCAAGCAGGACGAUGUCGAAUCGGUUUCUUAUUAUUUAAAUGUGUGGUGAGAGUUCAGUUCUGGUCGUGUUGCGUGAGGGAAGAAGCUGUUCCCGUUCGUGUGGUGGAGGCCUUUUCCCAGAGGGCAGGAGGGAGAGGACAGAGUGAGAUGGACGGGUGGGCUUCAGGUACAUACGGGGUGCAGAGAGUGACAUGA
ensembl:lncRNA